rnacentral:lncRNA from 1 species
UCCAUUAUUGAUUACUUUAAUUGGUGGAGAAGUUUACAGUGUUUUAAAAUACUUAUUUGCACCAGAACUAUCAAGUUCAAAAACAUUUUUGAAAAGUUAAAAAGCGUUCGGUCUGAACAUUAUAGUCCAAAGAGGUUAGUUAUUGCUGAAAGGUAUAAAUUUUACAACAUAAGUCAAGAACCUACAGAGGAUAUUAAAAGUUUUUUGUCAAAACUAAAAAGUGUAGCUCAAUAUUGUAAAGGGCCUAGCUGGGUAAGAUGAUGAAAAGUGCCCCCAACUCGAUACGAAUUGCAUAGGGUAGGUGGGGGUAAAAGUACGCACGGGGCAAAGGUACGCACUUACAUUUUUCAGUAACUUCAUAUAUGUUGGCGACAACAUCUUGUGGCAUAUGUUUGUACUACUCAGUAGCAUUGGAUGAGAAACUUUGGCGCAAUCAGGGCGAACACAACAACAAAAAUGAGGUAAAAAUUAUUUUUGUACCUCUUGAUCUAAUUUUUCUUAAAAAUUGAUUGAUUCUAAUUCUUAAUCUUUCAAACUCAGAUUAUUAUUGGUUAGGCAUGUUGAAAGUUUAUUGUUAGAAGUCUUCUUCUACAUGACAGUUUGAAGUUCAUAUGUGCAUAGUUUCAUAUUGAGGUUAGAUAUAUUAUUGGUUGCCGGAUGGGGCAAAAGUACUCACACAAAUGGGGCAAAGGUACGCACUGCUAAUGUUGGAAUGGGGCAAACAUUCGCAGUGCGUACCUUUGCCCCCAGUGAGGUAUACUUGGCAAAUGCAUGUUUCAAGUCAAUCUUCAAAGUGAAUAUCAAGUUGAGCUUGAUAUUCUAUCAGCUAAUUUUGUCUCAAUUGCAAAAUGUCUCAAAUCGGCAAAAGUACGCAUUUACAUUUUUUUUUCAAAAAGUUAUCAACACUACAAAAAUAAUGAAGAAUUUCCAUUUGCCUAAUAUGAUUACAAAAUGUAUCAAUUUCACUUUCAUCUAUACUCUGUGCCAAUUCAAGCAUUAGGAGAUUCACUAGAGAUGAAAAUAUAGAAAAUGCGUACAUUUGCCCCCACCUACCCUAUAGGUCAACGUUUGGCACAUAUAGAGAAACUCACUUUCUGAAAUUUUUAGCCCCCUAGGUGGUCACGUCACUCACCUAGAGCCUAAUUCUUUAGGCUUUUUAUGUUUUUAUUUUUUAUCUCAGCCGCAUUGAAAACUAGAGAAAAACUGUAAAUAAAAAAGUUCUGUCCGAA